GGACCCGCACAAGCGGUGGAGCAUGUGGUUUAAUUCGAAGCAACGCGAAGAACCUUACCAGGUCUUGACAUCCUUUGACCAUCCUAGAGAUAGGACUUUCCCUUCGGGGACAAAGUGACAGGUGGUGCAUGGUUGUCGUCAGCUCGUGUCGUGAGAUGUUGGGUUAAGUCCCGCAACGAGCGCAACCCUUAUUGUUAGUUGCCAUCAUUCAGUUGGGCACUCUAGCGAGACUGCCGCAGACAAUGCGGAGGAAGGUGGGGAUGACGUCAAAUCAUCAUGCCCCUUAUGACCUGGGCUACACACGUGCUACAAUGGAGAGUACAACGAGUCGCAAAGCCGCGAGGCUAAGCCAAUCUCUUAAAGCUCUUCUCAGUUCGGAUUGUAGGCUGCAACUCGCCUACAUGAAGCCGGAAUCGCUAGUAAUCGCGGAUCAGCACGCCGCGGUGAAUACGUUCCCGGGUCUU
rnacentral:rRNA from 1 species